rnacentral:rRNA from 1 species
CGCGGCAAGACGGAAAGACCCCGUGAACCUUUACUAUAGCUUGACACUGAACAUUGAGCCUUGAUGUGUAGGAUAGGUGGGAGGCUUUGAAGUGUGGACGCCAGUCUGCAUGGAGCCGACCUUGAAAUACCACCCUUUAAUGUUUGAUGUUCUAACGUGGGCCCCUUACCGGGGUUGCGGACAGUGUCUGGUGGGUAGUUUGACUGGGGCGGUCUCCUCCUAAAGAGUAACGGAGGAGCACGAAGGUUGGCUAAUCCUGGUCGGACAUCAGGAGGUUAGUGCAAUGGCAUAAGCCAGCUUGACUGCGAGCGUGACGGCGCGAGCAGGUGCGAAAGCAGGUCAUAGUGAUCCGGUGGUUCUGAAUGGAAGGGCCAUCGCUCAACGGAUAAAAGGUACUCCGGGGAUAACAGGCUGAUACCGCCCAAGAGUUCAUAUCGACGGCGGUGUUUGGCACCUCGAUGUCGGCUCAUCACAUCCUGGGGCUGAAGUAGGUCCCAAGGGUAUGGCUGUUCGCCAUUUAAAGUGGUACGCGAGCUGGGUUUAGAACGUCGUGAGACAGUUCGGUCCCUAUCUGCCGUGGGCGCUGGAGAACUGAGGGGGGCUGCUCCUAGUACGAGAGGACCGGAGUGGACGCAUCACUGGUGUUCGGGUUGUCAUGCCAAUGGCACUGCCCGGUAGCUAAAUGCGGAAGAGAUAAGUGCUGAAAGCAUCUAAGCACGAAACUUGCCCCGAGAUGAGUUCUCCCUGACUCCUUGAGAGUCCUGAAGGAACGUUGAAGACGACGACGUUGAUAGGCCGGGUGUGUAAGCGCAGCGAUGCGUUGAGCUAACCGGUACUAAUGAACCGUGAGGCUUAACCUU